CACGGAGGAUCCAAGCGUUAUCCGGAUUUAUUGGGUUUAAAGGGUGCGUAGGCGGAUUGAUAAGUUAGAGGUGAAAUGUCCGAGCUCAACUCGGGAACUGCCUCUAAUACUGUUGAUCUAGAGAGUAGAUGCGGUAGGCGGAAUGUAUGGUGUAGCGGUGAAAUGCUUAGAGAUCAUACAGAACACCGAUUGCGAAGGCAGCUUACCAAUCUAUAUCUGACGUUGAGGCACGAAAGCGUGGGGAGCAAACAGG
rnacentral:rRNA from 1 species